GUGGUAGGGUCUGCCUCAGUUGGUGGUGGCUCUGUUGUUUCAGGGGUUGUGUCUUCAGGUUUAGGGGUGGUGGGAGAGUCUGCUUCAGUUGGUGGUGGCUCUGUUGGUUCAGGGGUUGUGUCUUCAGGUUUAGGGGUGGUGGGAGAGUCUGCUUCAGUUAUUGGUUCCUCUGUGGCCUCUGGGGUUGUGUCUUCAGGUUUGGGGGUGAUGGGAGAUUCAGCCUUGGCUGUUGACGCUGCUGUUGUCGGUGGGGUAUCUAUGAGAACAUAUAUAUAUAUUAAGACAUUGGAAUUGCCGUGCAUACACCUAUUUCAUACUAAUUUAUUAUAGUAAUUAGAAAUAGCAAUUUACCUUUUGAAUAGCAA